AAGGGUCUUAUGUUGUCGGAAUUGCAAUAAUGGAUGGAUGUCAGAUAGAAGAGAUCCAGAAAAACCGGAAUUAUUACCGAAUGGUAAUUGGCGUGAUCUUGAAAAUGACCAAGGCGUUGCCUGAAGUUAAUUUACAUAUAAUUGAUCGAAGCUCCAUUAGUCAUACUGAAUUCAGUAUAUAAGUUGGGGCGUUUCGGUUCUAAAGCAUCAUUUGAUUCAGAGAUAUCAAAUACAAUCCACAACAAAAUGUUCGCUAAAAUCAUCCUCCUUGCCUUCGCUCUCUUCGCAGUAGCAUUCGCUGCCCCAGAACCAAGGCCUCAAUUUAUUGUUCCAGCCGCCAACGCUUACAACGCAUACUCAGCACCUUUGGCUUACUCUCCUUACUCUGCUUUGCCUGUCUCAGCUUACUCUGGUGUCUACCCAAGCGUUUAUGGAGCUGGAGCUGUGAUUGUUUGAAUGCCGAAUUGUAUCAAUAUGGAUAAGUCUUAAAUUUCACAAACAUUGUGUUUUCUCCUAUGUAAAUUUCUUUUUUGCGGAAUAAAUUCAUAAAUAAA